rnacentral:rRNA from 1 species
GACGAACCGUGCGAACGUUAUUCGGAAUCACUGGGCUUAAAGCGCGUGUAGGCGGUCCGGCGCGUCUGUUGCUGAAAGCCCCCGGCUCAACCGGGGAAGGGGCGCGGAUACGGCCGGACUGGAGGGAGGUAGGGGGAUCGGGAACUUCCGGUGGAGCGGUGAAAUGCGUUGAGAUCGGAAGGAACGCCCGUGGCGAAAGCGCGGUCCUGGACCUUUUCCUGACGCUGAGACGCGAAAGCUAGGGUAGCGAACGGG